rnacentral:lncRNA from 1 species
UGUUGUUCCAAUAGGGUCGGAAGCGUGUAAAUUAUUGUACUAAAAAAUCACACAAAGUUCAAUUCCCAGGGAAGAGAGGUGGAUCACAUGGAUCUCUUAAAUACCAAGUCUUUCCUUAGACAGAAUAUCCCUUCUAUAGUAAUUUAAUAGCACAAUUAAAUACUACUAUUAUACCCUCAAAUAUUGAAAGAAAAAUAGGACAAGAAAGAACACAAGAGUUUUUAACGAGGUUCGGUAAAUUAUACCUACGUCCUCGGGCACUAACACCAGAUGAUAACUUUACUAUCUCCAAAGUAUUACAAACAAAUAGAAUUCCUUAAGAAUUCUCAAAUGGAAGAAGAGAGAAAACUAAGAGAGAAAGAUUGGUUGGGAU